AAGUCGUAACAAGGUCUCCGUAGGUGAACCUGCGGAGGGAUCAUUAACACUUUUUCUUAGGAAAGAGCUUAACACUCUUUUCUUUUACCAACCGUGAACUAACUUAUGCCCCCGAUUAGUCUAUGCUAACCUUUGGGUUAGUUAGGCUAGUCCAUUUUUUUCUAUUGUUAUUUCAAACCUUUUAUCCAACUACUAACACUAUAGCCAUACAGUACUUUUUUACCUAGUUUUUCUAUGUAAUAUCGUACAGUGAAUAUAGUAAAGUAACUAACAGCACAACUCUUAGCAACGGAUAUCUCGGUUCUC
rnacentral:misc_RNA from 1 species